AGUAAACCAAUUUAAUUACCUUCCUCCUGACGAUAAGAGGGGUAUCAUCAUCAUCAACAACAUCAUCCUCUAGAAUGGGAGAUGCUGAGGUUGGCCAUUUGCGGCUUGGGGCACUCUUGGCUGUAGUAGGCUUGGCAGGGAGAGAAGAAGAUGAACGAGCAGACUGUUUAGCACGACGAGGAGGAGAAGGACUCCGGAUGGACAAAGGAGUGACUAAAACAGGAGGAGGGGAAGAAAUGCUCGGCUGGUCUAGUGAAUGAAAGGCACAAUUGGCAUCAGCCGCAAAUAAUCUGCGCUUCACUGACGGCCAGAGCUGUUCAAAAAGAGGAUGGAUGACGUGGCUAGAAUUGAAGGGGGCUAAUGAAAAAUAGCUGGUUAAAAGAAGAUUGUGAGCAUUUAUAGCCUCUCCAUCCGCCUUAUUAAUAAUAUGAAAACGGUCAAUUAAGUUCCUUGAAUAGCAAGGAGGAACAGGCCAAGUUUGGCUGAAACCAAACUGGCGAGCAAAAAAUUGGGGAACAUAAAUUUCUACCCCUGCCUUGGCAUUGGUCCCAGUUAAAAUAUCAUGAAAUAGCUCCCUCCCGAUUAAAAACAGGAUCCAAAUGAGCAGGGAGGUGCUCGUGCUGUCUAUAGUGGAGGGGGGAUGUAUAUAGUCUGGAGUCAAAAAAGGAGGAAAAGGAAAAAAGGAAGAGAUUGAAUCCAAAGAAUAAAAGAAUGAAAAAAUGUCCCUUCUGGACAUAUUUACAGGAGCCAAGGGCUCCAUGGCUAGCCCAUAACAGCUAGCAGAGGAGCGAGAAAUUGAUGGAGCACCAAGCAAUGAAAAAUAGGAUCUCAACCACAGUUGAGUGAACUAAAGAGGUCCACUACCAGUGGGAGAUGCACUAUUCUUCAAUUGAGUUUGAAGAGAGGCCAUGCCUCUAUAUAGGGCAGCCAAAAAGAAAGAACAUAAAUUCAAAAGCCUGCCACGCGCCAAUUCAUGCGCUAUGGGUAAAUAACUCAGGGAGGGCUUUAUGCUUGGCACACACAAAACAUAUUUACAAAGCCAAACUAGAAAAAAAGCCACUCGCUCAGUAUGGGAAAUCUCAGCGCUUGAAUGAUUGUGAAGGGUUUGCAGGCUUGAAUAAGACUUGGUGUAGUUUUACCAAACUUUGGGGCCCCACCAGAACCAAGAUACCAGGAAAAAUGGUAUCGCCCAAAGGUGGUAGAUUCACUAAGGCCCCAACAUCCCUUAAAGUAAUAGACAUGGGGCCAAGAGGGAAAAUAAAGGUAUUAUACUCAAAAGACCAAAAACUCAAAGCAAUCGAAAAAAGUGUUGAAUCAAAAGUAGGGAGCGAAUAGAGAUUUCUAACAAAUCAGAAAUCCUAGCAUUAUCAAAAAAUGUCUUAGUAGGACCAUGACCCAUAAGACGAGCAUGCCACCUACGGAAAUCUACAUCAGAUUUAGGCCAAGUGUGAAUACCUCUUUCGCGAAGUGGCCCCAGUGGCAGAGAGUUUAGAAAUUGAGGGCCUUGAGUACAAGGAAACAGCUGACCCACCGCCGCCUGUUCAACUGUCUCCGCAUUGUUGAAGAAAGGACCUAAGUAUAACUCAUUGCGUUCGACAUCGGCGGGCGCGAGAAAACUCGGAGUUAUGUAUGGACGACGCAAAAGUUUCUGAAAGUCAUCAAAACUAAAGGAGUCCCCAGCUUGAGAUUGUGAAGUAGCCAUUUGAGAUGGAACGAAGUUUUUCAGGGUUACGUAGCAGGGAAGCAAAAGAUGAACAGUAAAUCGUAGGAGAGACGCGAAAAAAUUGAGGCGUGAUUUAAUGGUGCAGUGAAAUGGCGUGUUUGGGGGUUAUAAGGGUUUGUAAAAAGACGCACCUUUUCAAGUUAUGGAAGAAAACAAUGAUUGAAAUUCUUGAAAAUCUCGAAUGUUGCUGGAAACACAAAGUGAAUAUAGCAAAAUUUAAUAAUUAUUAUUAAUUCUACCAUAUUGGGGGGUAAUUGUUGACACAUAAAAAUUCAGCCCAAAUUGAACGGCCCAAGGAAUGAAACCCAAAUUGGAGGAUCCCCAAAUCAGAUAGCCCAAAGAACGAAGCCCAAUCAAACAAUUCACGAUGAAGGCCCAAAUAGGGAGGCCCAAGAACGCGGUAACGCCAUCGCCCAAGUUUGCAAGUCGCCCAAAAUCUGAGUGAAUGGAGUGCCAUGCAGUCGCCCAGAGCUGUUACUUUAUUCUCGCCCAAACCUUCAAGUCGUCCAAAGUCUUAACAAACAUAAAGCGUUGUGGUUAUCAAGAAGUGCAGCUAUUAAAGCAGCCCUAUCACGUUCCACGAUUCAAGGAAUUCAAUCGAAAACGGUUGAACGACGAAGAGUAAUGGCAACAAUUAAAAAAGGCAGUUUUCAUAACAAGCUGGCCAUUAUGAGGAAAGUGGGCAGUUGCAGAACGAUCAAACAGUUUUUAGGUGGUUAAUCACAAAAAAGAUCAUCCAUGGAGUAUAAAAGGGAGAAAAGACAUAGAGCAAAGGAUCGAAUCAAAAACUCUCGAACAGAGAACAUGUAAUUUUAAUUUCUUUAGUUUAGACUUAAACACUUUUUUCAAUAACUCGUGUGCUUGCGCCCCUUGGAGGCAUUUUGUUUUUGAUUUCCAAUUGUAAAGUCAUCGACAAUAAAAGAACACCCCUUUUUGGGACUUUGUCUCAAGAGGUUUGUCCCUUACACAAUCGUUUGAUCCCUUUUAAUUGUUAGCGACUAACCCGCGCGAAACAGGUACAUUUCGAUCUUGAGUUAUAUCGGAUUGAUGUAAAGACGAUGUUUCUCAAUAGUGACAUUGAUGAGACAAUAUAUAGUGCAACUAGAAAACUUUACAUCAAGAGACCAAAAGAAAAUGAUUUGCAAUUUAAAGAAAUUUAUCCAUGAGCUUAAGUAAUCUUCCUGUCAAUGGUGUCACAAAUUUCAUGAAAUAAUCACCUUGUUUGUUUUUGAGAUAAAUGCAGUUGAUGAUUGUAUCUAUCACAAGUUUUCAGUGGAAGUAAAUAUAUUUUCUUGGUAUUGUAUGUCGAUGAAUACUACUUACCUGCAAUAACAUAGGCUUAUUAUAAGAAACUAAGAAAUUUCAAUCAAAAAUUUUUGAAAUGAAAGAUCUUGAUGGCGUCUCUUUUAUAUUAGGAAUACCGAUACACCAGAUAGUUCUCAGGGUAUUCUUGAAUUAUCGGAAAAAACUAUAUCAAUAAAGUGUUUAAGAGAUAUGGAAUGUAGGAUUGUGAACAAGGAGAUAUCCUUACGCUAAGGGAGACAAAUUUAGUCUCAAUCAAUGCCCUAAGAAUGACCUUGAAGAAAAAGGAAAUGCAGAAAACUUCAUAUACUUCAGUAGUUGAGAGUUUGACGUUUGCUCAAGUAUGCACACGCCCAGAUUUACCAUUCGUUGUUGGAAUGCUAGGUAGAUAUUUAAGUAACUCUGGGAUGAAUCGUUGAAAGGCAGCCAAGCUGGUAAAGUGGUAUUUAUAGAUAACAAAAGAUUACAUGCUUACAUACAGGAAAUCAAACCAAUUAGAGAUUAAUGUUAUUCUGAUUUUGAUUUUGUCGAAUAUCAAGACAAUAGAAAAUCCACAUUGGGCUAUGUCUUUCUGAUGGUUGGAAGAGCUAUAUCCUUAAAGAGUACGAAGCAGACACUCAUAACUUCUUCAAUCAUGGCGGCGGAGUUUGUAGCAUGUUAUAAGGUAUCCAAUCGAGAAAUAUGACUAUGGAAUUUUGUCACUAGACUGUAAAUUUUUGGAUGGAGUUGAUAGAUCAUUUAAGUUAUUUUGUGACUAUAACUUAGCAGUUUUAUAUUCAAACAACUAGAGGAGUUCCACAAUGUCUAAAUUUAUAGACAUUAAAUUCCUAAUUUUUAAAGGAAGAGUUUAAAGUGGUCAAGUUACUAUAGAACAUAUUGGGACAAACUCCAUGAUAAGACCCAUUUACUAAAGGACUACCACCAAAGGUCUUUCAUGAGCACACUGCUCCCAUGGGUGUUGUACAUUUUGAUGAUAUCUUAGUUUAGUGGGAGUUUGUAAUUUUGGAUGUUGUCCUUUUGACUCAUGAUUUUAAUUGUGCUCAUUCAAGUUUAUUUCAAUAACAAAGUAUUCAGUUCAGUUUUCACUCUAAUUAAAGUUUUGGUUUGAUCUCAUUAAAGUAUAAAGUAUUAAAGGAUAAAGUAGAACCAGUUGAAAAUAGGCAUGUUCAGAUCAAAUUACAUGUAAUUUCCAUGCUAUGCGUUCACACUUGAUCUAUGUCACUUGAUUGUGUUGAUAUACGUGACCAUUGUGAGUUUAAUUAUGAUAUUUGUAACGAAAAUUUCUUUAAUCUUAUAUUGACAUAAUUAAUGAACGAGAUUGUUUGGACAUGCCUUUUGGGUAUGAUAACAAAAGUUUUGAACUCAUAAGGUUAUACACAUUUACAUAGUAAUCCAUGUGACCCAAGUGGAACAUUGUUGGAAAAUUAUUAAUUUGUUAUAUGGGCCGACUUAUGUAAUUAAUUGUAUAUAAAAACUAUUUUAAAGUUAAGUCCAAAAUUAAAGUAUGUAUAGUGAUCUAUUCUUUAUAAUUAUAUUUCAUGACGGAUGAUGGAAACUAUAUAUAGGUUUAUGGUCUCCAAUUCAUAUACAACUUAUCAUUCUUUGCAUCAUCUCAUCAACGCAAGAAUUAAUAAAGAAAGCAUAUUAAAAAUGAAGAUCCUAAACCCAAAAUUAAGAACAUGCAAUUUACAAUCAAG
rnacentral:lncRNA from 1 species